UACCCGCAGCACAAGUGGUGGUCAUUAUUAUUGGGCCUAAAGCGUCCGUAGCUGGCUUGUUAGAUGCCUGGGUAAAUCGAUGCGCUCAACGUAUCGAAUUCCGGGUAGACCGGCAAGCUUGGGACCGGGAGAGGCAUGGGCUACUCGCGGGGUAGGGGUAAAAUCCUGUAAUCCUGCGGGGAGGACCAGUGGCGAAGGCGCCAUGCUAGAACGGCUCUGACAGUGAGGGACGAAGCCCUGGGGCGCAAACCGG
rnacentral:rRNA from 1 species